UACGUAGGGCGCAAGCGUUGUCCGGAAUUAUUGGGCGUAAAGAGCUCGUAGGCGGUCUGUCGCGUCGGAUGUGAAAGCCCGGGGCUUAACCCCGGGUCUGCAGUCGAUACGAGCAAACUAGAGUGUUGCAGGGGAGACUGGAAUUCCUGGUGUAGCGGUGAAAUGCGCAGAUAUCAGGAGGAGCACCGGUGGCGAAGGCGGGUCUCUGGGCAACAACUGACGCUGAGGAGCGAAAGCGUGGGGAGCGAACAGG
rnacentral:rRNA from 1 species